GCUGCGACCGAGCGGGGGGGGGGGGUAAAGGGCGGGGUGCGAGCGUUGUUGUGAAUGACUGUGCGUAGAGGGCGUGCGGGCGGUAAGGGAAGGGGGAUGUGAAAUGCCCCGGCUCACCCGGGGACCGGCAUCUCAGACUGCUGGGCUUGAGUACGGGAGAGGAUGGGGGAAUUCCUGGUGUAGCGGUGAAAUGCGUAGAUAUCAGGAGGAACACCGGUGGCGAAGGCGCACAUCUGGCCCGAUACUGACGCUGAGGCGCGAAAGCUAGGGGAGCAAACGGGAUUAGAUACCCUGGUAGUC
rnacentral:rRNA from 1 species